AUCCACACCUCGAGGAACACGUUUCUUGGUCAAGAAAAUGUCUUCGAUAUUUCAAGCUAAAUCUUACAGUAAAAUCAGUUUAAUUGGAGUAAUAUUCAUCCUAAAAUAGCAAAGAACGAUCAACAGUCAUGACUGUUAUGGAGUUGUGAAAAAAAUUGAAAUAUCAGUCAGUGUAACCCAUGGCAUUAUACUUGGACAUGAAGCACAAGUCCAUAUUACUCUACCUGAUACUGAUUGUGUUAGAAGAUGACAACAAUAGAGUUACCAUCCUGACGGUCAACAUUAAGGUUUCUCUGCCUUGAAAAACACAACUGCAAAAAGAACAAAAAUGAUAAAAUGAUGGCAAUAAUACAGAAAUCUUGGUUGAUGUAAGAAAGACCUUGGUGACAUUCUAUGUCAUUUUACCCAUGAGGUCCUACAGAUAUCUACCAGACGAUAUGUACAGUGGCUUUACACAGAGUAUUACAAGAGACUGUGGUGACAUUCUAUGUCAUUUACCCAUGACGUCCUACAGAUAUCUACCAGAUGAUAUGUACAGUGGCUUUACCCAGAGUAUUACAAGAGACUGGUGACAUAUUCUAUGUCAUUUUAACCAUGUCCUACAGAUGUCUACUAGAUGAUAUGUACUGUGGCUUAACACAGAGUAUUACAAGAGACUGUGGUGACAUUCUGUCAUUUACUUAUGACGUCCUACAGAUAUCUACCAGAUAUGUACUGUGGUUUAACACAGAGUAUUACAAAAGACUGGUGACAUAUUCUAUGUCAUUUUAACAAUGAGGUCCUACAGAUAUGAACUGUAUUGUAACUGGCAUUCUAUGUCACCACAUCCAUUUAUGCAUGCAUAUCAAAAAACCUACCAGAUGCUGCUGUAACCUUACUGUACCUGUUUACUGAUGGAGACCAUGGUGGAACCAUUAGCUUGUCUACAGAACCAGUAGGAUUCAUGACCUUAGUUGUGACAAUAGCCUGACAAGCCUUGGCCAGUACAAGGUGACAUAUAGGAGCAACAACUCUGUCAUAACGAGAAACAAAGGUUCCACCAAAGAUGAUUGCAGAAAAACUGACCUAUAUGUAUGAAGGUGUCCAGGAGAUAACUAGUGCUGAAGAACUGAAGAAGACAACAGGAACAAAAAAAGAAAAAAAAAAA